CCUACGGGAGGCAGCAGUGAGGAAUAUUGGUCAAUGGGCGAGAGUCUGAACCAGCCAAGUAGCGUGAAGGAUGACUGCCCUAUGGGUUGUAACCUUCUUUUAUAAAGGAAUAAAGCGAGGCACGUGUGCCUUUUUGUAUGGACUUUAUGAAUAAGGAUCGGCUAACUCCGUGCCAGCAGCCGCGGUAAUACGGAGAAUCCGAGCGUUAUCCGGAUUUAUUGGGUGUAAAGGGAGCGUAGAUGGGUUGUUAAGUCAGUUGUGAAAGUUUGCGGCUCAACCGUAAAAUUGCAAUUGAUACUGGCAGUCUUGAGUACAGUUGAGGUAGGCGGAAUUCGAGGUGUAGCGGUGAAAUGCUUAGAUAUCACGAAGAACCCCGAUUGCGAAGGCAGCUUACUAAACUGUGACUGACAUUGAUGCUCGAAAGUGUGGGUAUCAAACAGGAUUAGAUACCCGUGUAGUC
rnacentral:rRNA from 1 species